GACCUCCUAUGGGAGGCAGCAGUGGGGAAUAUUGCACAAUGGGGGAAACCCUGAUGCAGCGACGCCGCGUGAGCGAAGAAGUAUCUCGGUAUGUAAAGCUCUAUCAGCAGGGAAGAAAGAAAUGACGGUACCUGACCAAGAAGCCCCGGCUAACUACGUGCCAGCAGCCGCGGUAAUACGUAGGGGGCAAGCGUUAUCCGGAAUUACUGGGUGUAAAGGGAGCGUAGACGGUUAAGUAAGUCUGGAGUGAAAGGCCGGGGCCCAACCCCGGGACUGCUCUGGAAACUAUUGAACUUGAGUGCAGG
rnacentral:rRNA from 1 species